AAAAUUCACUUUCGUCUCUCUCUAUCUUCUUAAGUCCCAUUUCACAAACCCUAACCCUCAAUCGAUCUGCAGAGAGAACCAGAGAAAAAAAAGGCCCGCUCAAUGGCUUAUCCUCAAAUCGACGCUGAUACUUUCUCAAAUCUACAGUUUGUGUUGCCUCCUUCUCAACAUGUUGCCUCCUUCUCAAAUCAUGAUAGAUUGAAGGGUUCAUAUGUGGGCAUAGAAAACAGAGGAAUAUCAGCAAAGCGUAUCUCACAGUUACCAACUUCAAAGUACCGGUCUGGAUUGUUCUCAAAGAACAAGAAGGAAGAAAAAGCAUAAAAGAACAAGAUGUAGCAGUUGAACGAAGAGGCUAAACACUUCAAUCAGGCUCAUGUUGGCUCGCCUCUUAUGACAUUCUCAUGAGUUCAAGAGAUUUGGGUCAGGGGGAGCUGAAGCGUUUAAGGUAGAUAGAAAUGAUGAAGAAAACAAAAAAUGUCCUUUAACCAUGGAUAUUGAUGAAAUUCUUGAAAGCCAGUGGAGAAUAGCUGAUGUACCAAGCCACACGUUUAGAGAAGUUCGUUA